rnacentral:rRNA from 1 species
UACGGACCGUCCAAACGUUAUUCGGAUUUACUGGGCUUAAAGGGUGCGUAGGCGGCGCGGAAAGUUGGGUGUGAAAGCCCUCGGCCUAACCGAGGAAUUGCGCUCAAAACUGCCGUGCUCGAGGGAGAUAGAGGUGAGCGGAACUGAUGGUGGAGCGGUGAAAUGUGUUGAUAUCAUCAGGAACACCGGUGGCGAAAGCGGCUCACUGGGUCUCUUCUGACGCUGAGGCACGAAAGCUAGGGGAGCGAACAGG